UAGGCUUUAUUUUAAUAACAUUGAUGUGGAACUCUAAAAAUAUACUACAAGUACAGCUAAUUACAAUGUUUUGCAAAAACGAAUACCGAAAUUAUCAUCAAUUUGCAGUUCAUAACCUUGUCGGGUUGAUAACAAAACAAACUCUUUUUAAUAACUUGGAGUUGAUAAACAAUAUAAUAUAAUAGAUCAUUAAUUAAAGAUUCAAUGUCCAGAGAAACAAUUGCAAACUUUUGAUAAAAAACAUUAUAAAUAGUCGUGUAUUCUGGUUUUUUUUUAUGUAGAUGACUGAAGAUGUUUCGUUGUAUCGUAUUGGCGACUUUUUUUCUUUUUGCUCAUUUAAUGGCUGCCCCAGGGAUUUCUGGAGAAAAUCAUGGCAAUGCCUUCGCGUCACAUGGGAGCAUCAGUGUUGGCGUUAUAUCUGGGACAGAAUUUGGCGAGAACAGCUUCGUGAUAGAAACCGUGCCAGUUCCUCAUAAGUGCGGUUUAAUAGAUGGAUUCUUCUCAACCUUUAUCCCAACAAUAAAAUGCUGACAAACAUACUUCGAAAUGUGGAUGCUGAACCAGCAAUAAUCAUGUGCUCCUAAACUUGGAUUUUUAGUUGUGCGAGCAGGACAACGCUAGGCGCAGUGUGGUGCGACAUCUCGUUUCUGCAAGUCUUCCUUUAAUAACUCAUAAUACAGCCAGUGAAUUCUACAAUUUUUAUUUUACUAUCACACUAUCAUAAGUUAAAAAUAAAGAAGAUAUUUUUAUCCUAAGAUUUUUAUUUUUAACAGUAUAUAAAUAGCAACUAGACUUGAGCAGCAUAUCUUAUUUUUAUUUGUCAUCCUAAAUAAUAUAAUAAACGCAAGU